rnacentral:rRNA from 1 species
AUAGAAUUAUUGUUGCGGUUAAAAAGUUCGUAGUUGGAUUUUCGACUGUUCAAAGGUUGGCCUUAACGGGACAUACUUUUGGCAGUGUUUGCAUUCAAUUUGGGAGCAAUUUCAAAUAGAAUGCGGAUUACUUUGAACGGCUUAAGUGCUCAAGGCGAGUCUUCGGACUGAAUACCGGUGCAUGGAAUAAUGGAAUAAGGUUUCGGCCGAGUUUUAUUGGUUUUGUCGGCUAAAACAAUGGUUAACAGGAACAGCUGGGGGCACUCGUAUCGCUGCGCGAGAGGUGAAAUUCGUGGACCGCAGCGAGACGCC